rnacentral:lncRNA from 1 species
GGAACGUGUGCAUCCAGGGUGGACUCUGCUUCUUUAGACCUGAUAGCUGCUAUGGUUGGAAGCCUGGCCCCAGUUUCCCUGGCCAGCACAGACAGUCCUGGUCACUGUGACCUAGGUAGCAGUCCGCCCUCCUGCCUGUGGUACUGAGCAUAUUCUUGAAAAAUCUGUGUCCUGUGAUUCUUGGCCACAGUUGUUUGGAGGUACACAGUGGCUGGGAUAUAAGGAAGUUACUCGUUGUCACUUGGUAUUAGGCACCUACUGCAUGCAGAGUUUUGUACCUUGUAUAUACUAUGAAAGGCACAGAGUAAAGGAGUCACUCUUGUCCCUAUUGGGGCCAGGCAGUGGAGUGGUAAAAAUAACAGCCAUUUAUUUAUUUUUUUCUAUGUGUUUACUAUGUUUUAGGCCUGUGCUAAGUACUUUGCACACAUUAUCUCACUUCAUCCUCAGAGUAACCAUGUGCCAGAGUGGUUAUUAGCACUGUUUUAUGGAUGAAGAAACUAAUACCAGAUGGAAUUAAUGAACUUGCCAUGGGUCCUACAGCCAGUGUGAAUCUUCCUGACCCCUCACUCCCCACUGUGCAUCCCAGGGCUGUGUUUCCUUUCAUGCCAUAUGUUCCCAGAAGACAGGACUGAGCAUUUUGAAGUCCUGGGUUCAGUUUAUUAUGAAACUCAACUUAUUAUAGAACUUUACUCUGUUUAUUGGCUGAACAAUCUGGACUGACUCUUCCUGCUUUUCUCAUUUGCUGAUCUGGAAAAUGGGAAUAUUUGUGUAUAUUUCACAAAGCUUCAGUGCGGGAUGAAGUAAGGUAAUUUGUUAUAGAAAGAGCUUCAUAAAUGAGAAGGGGGUCUCCAUACAUGGACUUCAUUUAAACGAGUCAGUAGUAAAACCUUAUUUUACCUGUGCAUUGCCCC